GGCCCAGACUCCUACGGGAGGCAGCAGUGGGGGAUAUUGCACAAUGGGGGAAACCCUGAUGCAGCAACGCCGCGUGAGUGAAGAAGUAUUUCGGUCUGUAAAGCUCUAUCAGCAGGGAAGAGAAUGACGGUACCUGACUAAGAAGCCCCGGCUAACUACGUGCCAGCAGCCGCGGUAAUACGGAGGAUGCGAGCGUUAUCCGGAUUUAUUGGGUUUAAAGGGUGCGUAGGCGGUCCGGAAAGUCAGCGGUAAAAGCCGGGGGCUCACCCCCGGCGAGCCGUUGAAACUGUCGGACUAGAGACGGCGAGAAGUACGCGGAAUGCGCGGUGUAGCGGUGAAAUGCAUAGAUAUCGCGCAGAACUCCGAUUGCGAAGGCAGCGUACCGGCGCCCAACUGACGCUGAAGCACGAAAGCGUGGGUAUCGAACAGGAUUAGAUACCCCUGUA
rnacentral:rRNA from 1 species